rnacentral:rRNA from 1 species
UACAGAGGUGGCAAGCGUUGUUCGGAAUUACUGGGCGUAAAGGGCGCGUAGGCGGUCUUGUAAGUCUUGUGUGAAAUCCCUCGGCUUAACUGAGGAACUGCACGAGAUACUGCGAGACUUGAGUUCGGGAGAGGGAUGCAGAAUUCCAGGUGUAGCGGUGAAAUGCGUAGAUAUCUGGAGGAAUACCGGUGGCGAAGGCGGCAUCCUGGACCGACAUUGACGCUGAGGAGCGAAAGCUAGGGGAGCAAACGGG